rnacentral:rRNA from 1 species
CCUACGGGUGGCAGCAGUGGGGAAUAUUGCGCAAUGGGCGAAAGCCUGACGCAGCGACGCCGCGUGAGGGAUGAAGGUCUUCGGAACGUAAACCUCUGUCAGCAGGGAAGAAAGGUCACUGUGCUAACCAGCAGUGAAUUGACGGUACCUGCAAAGGAAGCACCGGCUAACUCCGUGCGAGCAGCCGCGGUAAUACGGAGGGGGCGAGAGCUAAUCGGAAUUACUGGGCGUAAAGGGGGCGUAGACGGUAUGUCAAGUCUAGGGUGAAAUCCCCGCGCUCAACGAAGGAACUGCCUUUGAAACUGGGAAGCUGGAGUGUGUGAUAGGAUAGUGGAAUUCCGGGUGUAGGCGGGAAAUCCGUAGAUA